rnacentral:tRNA from 1 species
AGGAGUUUAGGUUAACUCAGACCAAGAGCCUUCAAAGCCCUAAGCAAAUAAUAAAUAUUUAACUCCUG